AACGCACCUUGCACCCCCGGGUAUUCCUGGGGGUAUGCCUGUUUGAGUGUCAUUUUCUUAUUCUCAAUGCAUCUGCAGUUCUUCUGCUUUGCAUUGGAUGAUGAAGGCUGCUGGCUUUUCAGUCAGCUCCUUUGAAAUACAUUAGCAGGAAACUGGCAAAAAACCAGCUUCAGUUUGAUAGGAAUCUAGCUGUUUGCUGUGGAGCCACUUCUAUUCUGCUCUUGGUCUUGGAUUGAGACUGCUCAUUCUUCUGAGCAAUGUUUGUUGUAACUUGACCUCAAAUCAGGUAGGACUACCCGCUGAACUUAA
rnacentral:misc_RNA from 1 species